rnacentral:rRNA from 1 species
UGGCGGCGUGCCUAACACAUGCAAGUCGAGCGAAGUAUCCGGAGCUGAACCUUUCGGGGGGACGCACCGGAUAUCUUAGCGGCGGACGGGUGAGUAACGCGUGAGAAACCUGCCUUUUACAAAGGGAUAGCCUCUGGAAACGGGGAUUAAUACCUUAUGACACUCUUUGAUCGCAUGAAUGAAGAGUCAAAGCGCAAAGCGGUAAAAGAUGGUCUCGCGUCCCAUUAGCUAGUUGGUGAGAUAAAAGCCUACCAAGGCAAUGAUGGGUAGCCGGCCUGAGAGGGUGAACGGCCACACUGGAACUGAGACACGGUCCAGACUCCUACGGGAGGCAGCAGUGGGGAAUAUUGCACAAUGGAGGAAACUCUGAUGCAGCGACGUCGCGUGAACGAUGAAGGCUUUCGGGUCGUAAAGGUCUGUCCUUGGGGAAGAUAAUGACGGUACCCAAGGAGGAAGCCCCGGCUAACUACGUGCCAGCAGCCGCGGUAAUACGUAGGGGGCGAGCGUUGUCCGGAUUUAUUGGGCGUAAAGGGUUCGCAGGCGGCCUUUUAAGUCAGGUGUGAAAGAUCACAGCUCAACUGUGGUAAGCACUUGAAACUGGAAGGCUUGAGUUAAGGAGAGGAAAGUGGAAUUCCUAGUGUAGCGGUGAAAUGCGUAGAUAUUAGGAGGAAUACCAGUGGCGAAGGCGACUUUCUGGACUUAUACUGACGCUGAGGAACGAAAGCGUGGGGAGCAAACAGGAUUAGAUACCCUGGUAGUCCACGCCGUAAACGAUGAGUGCUAGGUGUCGSGUGUCAAAGCUCGGUGCCGCAGCUAACGCAUUAAGCACUCCGCCUGGGGAGUACGUACGCAAGUAUGAAACUCAAAGGAAUUGACGGGGACCCGCACAAGCAGCGGAGGAUGUGGUYUAAUUCGAAGCAACGCGAAGCACCUUACC